CCAGCAGCUGCGGUAAUUCCAGCUCCAAUAGCGUAUAUUAAAGUUGUUGCAGUUAAAAAGCUCGUAGUUGGAUUUCUGGCAGGAGCGACCGGUCACACACUCUGUGUGUGAACUCGUGUUGUCUCUGGCCAUCCUCGGGGAGAUCCUGUUUGGCAUUAAGUUGUCGGGCAGGGGAUACCCGUCGUUUACUGUGAAAAAAUUAGAGUGUUUAAAGCAGGCUUAUGCCGUUGAAUAUAUUAGCAUGGAAUAAUAAGAUAGGACUUCGGAACUAUUUUGUUGGUUUGCGUUACGAAGUAAUGAUUAAUAGGGACAGUUGGGGGUAUUCGUAUUUCGUUGUCAGAGGUGAAAUUCUUGGAUUUCCGAAAGGCGAACUACUGCGAAAGCAUUUACCAAGGAUGUUUUCAUUGAUCAAGAACGAAAGU
rnacentral:rRNA from 1 species